rnacentral:sRNA from 1 species
GUAUGUCUAGUUCCCACGACUCCAACGGCUGCACCAACCAAGACACAACAAAGCACUGGAGGUUUUCCUCCACAGUUUGCUCAGAUGAUGCAGAUGUUUCAGAACCCACAAAUGGCUCAGAUGUUCAAACAGUUCAUGAGUUCUCAAGGUGUUCCCAGCUCUGGACCAUCACCCAUGAUGCCAUGUAAGUCUAACUACU